UGAAAAAGUUACAUCUGUCCACACAGAAAAUUGCAUCUCAACAAACCUGUCAUUGGUACGCGAACUACAUUUUAGUCACUCAGUAAAGUGAUAACUCAAAAUAUCAUUGUCAACAGAUCUGGAGAAAUUGCCACUGCGUCUUUAGACCGUUUUCGUCAGACGAGAGACACAGUUCUGACUCUGAUUACUGGUUGCUGUACGUAUCUAUCCACAUCAAGGCUGUUGAGAGAGACUCGUGAAGAUUCAAGACAGCUCUUAGAUGAUUUUGCAGUUUAAAAGUGACAUAAUUGUGAAAUAAGUGUGCAGAUGAGUGAUUAAACUGUGUU